CCUACGGGAGGCAGCAGUGAGGAAUAUUGGUCAAUGGGCGGAAGCCUGAACCAGCCAAGCCGCGUGAGGGAAGACGGUCCUAUGGAUUGUAAACCUCUUUAGGCGGGGAGCAAUGCCGGGCACGCGUGCCCGGAGGGAGAGUACCCGCAGAAUAAGCAUCGGCUAACUCCGUGCCAGCAGCCGCGGUAAUACGGAGGAUGGGAGCGUUAUCCGGAUUUAUUGGGUUUAAAGGGUGGGUAGGCGGAUGUUUAAGUCAGCGGGAAAAUGUCGGGGCUCAACCCGGGCCGGCCGUUGAUACUGGGGAGCUAGAGUGGGCGAGAAGUAGGCGGAAUGCGUGGUGUAGCGGUGAAAUGCAUAGAUAUCACGCAGAACUCCGAUUGCGAAGGCAGCAUACCGGCGCCCGACUGACGCUGAGGCACGAAAGCGUGGGGAUCGAACAGGAUUAGAUACCCCUGUAGUC
rnacentral:rRNA from 1 species